AUACGGAGGAUCCAAGCGUUAUCCGGAUUUAUGGGGUUUAAAGGGUGCGCAGGCGGUAUUAUAAGUCAGUGGUGAAAUCUGGAGGCUCAACCUCCAAACUGCCAUUGAUACUGUAGUACUAGAGUACAGACGAAGUAGGCGGAAUGUAGCAUGUAGCGGUGAAAUGCUUAGAUAUGUUACAGAACACCGAUCGCGAAGGCAGCUUACUAGACUGUUACUGACGCUAAUGCACGAAAGCGUGGGGAGCGAACAGGAUUAGAAACCCUAGUAGUCC
rnacentral:rRNA from 1 species